rnacentral:lncRNA from 1 species
AGAACGGUCGCCGCGUCGCCUCAGCACGGACCUCCAGGGAGCUCCUCAGCAAGAUCCUGCCAGGGCGCCCCUCAGCGCGAUUCUGCCGGGGUGCCUCUCAGCGUGGUCCUCCCCGGGGCUCCUCAGCACGAUUCUCCCGGUGCGCCCCUCAGCGCGGUCCUCCUCGGUGCGUCAGUCAUCGUGGUUCUCCCCGGCGCGCCCCUCGGCGCGGUUCUCCUCGGGGCUCCUCAGCGCGGCGCUCUUCUGGGGGCUCCUCGGCGCAGUUCUCCCCGGGGACUCCUCGGCGCCGUUCUCCUCGGGGCACCCGGGGCUUUUCGGCGCGGUUCUCCCCGGGGGUUCUUCGGCGCGGUUGUCCCCGGGGGUUCUUCGGCGCGGUUCUCUCCGGGGGCCUCUCGCCGCGGUUCUGUUCUCCCCGGGGGCUCCUCAGCAUGGUUCUCCUCCGCGCGGUCCUCCCUGGGCCUCCUCAGCGCGGCACUCUCCUGGGGGCUCCUCAGCGCGGCACUCUCCCCGGGGGCUCCUCAGCGCGGCACUCUCCCGGCGGCUCCUCAGUGCGGUUCUCCCAGACUCUCCUCAGCGCGGCCCUCCCCAUCUCUCUGGGAGGGUUUGAACACGGUCAGCACGGACCUGGGCGGACGGCGCGGGACGGGUGAUCACUGGCGUUGCUGAGUUCAACAGGACUCCACUCAAACUUCCAGUUGGAGGGCUUGAGUAAUUUAACAAACAUAUUCUAAAAUGUAUGUGGAAGAAAAAUAUUUGUAAAUGCCAACUGAACUUUUGAAAAGGAGAGCAGAGGACUUCUGCUGGCAGAUACCAGGGCACACGCCAACUUCAGCAAUCAGAGCGGUGUGGUGACAGAGGCCCAGAAGAGAGCUCAGAGGUAACUCCAAGUCUAGAGGAAGGGGACAUGUGAUAAAGGUGGCACCACAUAUCAGUGGGGACUGUUCAGAAGAUGAUGUUGGAAAGCCAGCCCUAAAAUGGAGGAAUAGGAAUAUGGAUUCCUAACUGAGCCCCUAGGAAAAGUAGACUCCAAAUGGACUAAAUAUUUGAAAGCAAAAGGUAGUUGCCAUUUGUUUAAUAGGAGAAAAAAUGAAUAAUCUCCAGGGCCAGGGUGGCCGUGGGGUUCUUAAACAGGAUCCAGAAAGCACAAACCUCAAGACUAAAAUGUAUGAACUUGAAUGCAUUAAUGAUUAUGGAUUAAGGAUUUCUGUUAAAUAAAUCCAUCAUGGCAAGGGU